GCAGCUAGCUCAGUUGGUUAAAGUGUGGUGCUGAUAAUGCCAAAGUUGUGGGUUCUCUCCCCAUAUGGGCCAGCUGCA